AUUAUUCUAUCAAUGCCUUAGAAUAUGCUUAAUUGAGAUUUUAGGCUUGAGCCUGUCUAUAUUAUGAUCCGUGUCGUGCUGAAAUGAAUAUUCGGUUCACUCUAUACUAGUAUCAUGGGUUCACCCCUGUUUAAGUACGAUUAUUUAAUGAUUAUUUAAAUAUGUUAAUUUGUACAAAAACAUUACAAUCAAGAAAAUUAACUCUACUAGAAGUUAAUAUUACAUGGUCCUACCCACAAAUUAAUUUGCAAUUUCUUCAAUUGUGUAUUUUUGUGUGGUAUUCCUCUUAUACGUAACCCAUUUCUUUCCUUAUUAAAUGCCGUUGUUGUGACCCUUCAACUGCUUGCUCAUAUACAUUGUCACCCUCACUUGUUCUUUCCCUACUCUUAAGCACUACUCCUUGAUCAUUAUAUAAUACAAAUUAUUUCGAGAAUUCAAUCAUCAGCUUGUCGUAUUUUUUGGGUGAUUAUUGAAGAAAAAUGUUGACAAUAGGGUUUGAGAAAUGGAUGGGAACAUUGAAGACAAAGUUGAGAUGGUCUUUUAAAGGGAAAAAAGAGUUUGGUUAUGAUGAGAUUGAGAAGAGUGAGAGUAUGAGAAUUGAAAUAAGAAGUAAGAAAGCAAGAAAGUUGAUUGAAGAGACACUCAAAUUUGCUGAUUCCCCCACCAAGAGAAGUCUUUCCCUUUGAAUUAUUUAUAUGUAUACUUUAAUGUGGUAAAUUUUCCAAUAUUAUUGUACAAUUAUCAAACAAUUUUAUUAGCUUAUAGCUACUAUUUUAA